rnacentral:rRNA from 1 species
UUGCCUACGGGGGGCAGCAGUGGGGGAUAUUGCACAAUGGGGGGAACCCUGAUGCAGCGACGCCGCGUGGGUGAAGAAGCGCCUCGGCGCGUAAAGCCCUGUCAGCAGGGAAGAAAAUGACGGUACCUGAAGAAGAAGCCCCGGCUAACUACGUGCCAGCAGCCGCGGUAAUACGUAGGGGGCAAGCGUUAUCCGGAUUUGCUGGGUGUAAAGGGGGCGCAGACGGCGAUGCAAGCUAGGAGUGAAAGCCCGGGGCCCAACCCCGGGACUGCUCUUGGAGCGGCGGUG